ACGAAGCAUGCCGGAGGAAGUUUUCGGAUCCUAUAAAGGAUGACUGAGUGGCGGACGGGUGAGUAACGCGUGGGUAACCUGCCCUGUACAGGGGGACAACAGUUCCAAAUGACUGCUAAUACCGCAUAAGCGCACAGGACCGCAUGGUCCGGUGUGAAAAACUCCGGUGGUACAGGAUGGACCCGCGUCUGAUUAGGUAGUUGGCGGGGUAACGGCCCACCAAGCCGACGAUCAGUAGCCGACCUGAGAGGGUGACCGGCCACAUUGGGACUGAGACACGGCCCAAACUCCUACGGGAGGCAGCAGUGGGGAAUAUUGCACAAUGGGGGGAACCCUGAUGCAGCGACGCCGCGUGAGUGAAGAAGUAUUUCGGUAUGUAAAGCUCUAUCAGCAGGGAAGAAAAUGACGGUACCUGACUAAGAAGCCCCGGCUAACUACGUGCCAGCAGCCGCGGUAAUACGUAGGGGGCAAGCGUUAUCCGGAUUUACUGGGUGUAAAGGGAGCGUAGACGGCAGAGCAAGUCUGAAGUGAAAGCCCGCGGCCCAACUGCGGGACUGCUUUGGAAACUGCCCGGCUAGAGUGCUGGAGAGGUAAGCGGAAUUCCUAGUGUAGCGGUGAAAUGCGUAGAUAUUAGGGGGAACACCAGUGGCGAAGGCGGCUUACUGGACAGUAACUGACGUUGAGGCUCGAAAGCGUGGGG
rnacentral:rRNA from 1 species